GAGGCAUCACAUGACAAUGUGUAAACAGGAAACAGCACAGACUGAGCUCAGGAUAAAAAUAAACCUAAAGUCUUGGAUAAGUUGGAUCCCAUCAUCACUACUGGGCGGGUAAACACACUCACGCCCUCUCGAACAAAGGUUAGGCUGGAUUAAGGAGCUCUUUGUACAAUACUAUGGGAUAAAGAAAGGAAAAACAGGGAACAAGAGGUGAAGAAACCUACUGUUUGGAAACCAUGCAUUCCAGUCUGUUGUGCCCACAUGCUUCAAGAUGGCUACCAUUGUUCCUGUUCCCAAGAAAGCCAAGGUAACUGAACUAAAUGACUAUCGCCCCUUAGCACUCACUUCUGUCAUCAUGAAGUGCUUUGAGAGACUAGUCAAGGAUCAUAUCACCUCCACCCUACCAGAUACCCUAGACCCACUCCAAUUUGCUUACCGCCCCAAUAGAUCCACAGACGAUGCAAUCGUUAUCACACUGCACACUGUCCUAUCCCACCUGGACAAGAGUAAUACCUAUGUAAGAAUGCUGUUCAUCGACUACAGCUCAGGAUUUAACACCAAAGUAUCCUCCAAACUCCUUAAGCUCGAGACCCUGGGUCUCGACCCUGCCCUGUGCAACUGGGUCCUGGACUUCCUGACGGGCUGCCCCCAGGUGGUGAGGGUAGGAAACAACAUCUCCACCCCGCUGAUCCUCAACACUGGGGCCCCACAAGGGUGCAUUCUCAGCCCUCUCCUGUAGUCCCUGUUCAUCCACGACUGCGUGGCCAUGCACGCCUCCAAUUCAGUCAUCAAUUUUGCAGACGUCACUACAGUGGUAGGCAUGAUUUCCAACAACGACGAGGCGGCCUACAGGAAGGAGGUGAGGGCCCUCGGAGUGUGGUGUCAGGAAAAAAAACACUCACUCAACGUCAACAAAACAAAGGAGAUGAUCGUGGACUUCAGGAAACAGCAGAGGGAGCAUCCCACCAUCCACAUUGAUGGGACAGUAGUGGAGAAGGUGGAAAGUUGUAAGUUCCUCGGCGUACACAUCACGGACAAUCUGAAAUGGUCCACCCACACAGACAGUGUGGUGAAGAAAGAGCCUGAAGAAAUUUGGCGUGUCACCUAAAACACUCACAAACUUUUAUAGAUGCACAAUCAAGAGCAUCCUGUCGGGCUGUAUCACCGCCUGGUACGGCAACUGCUUCUCCCACAACCGCAACGUUCUCCAGAGGGUAGUGCGGUCUGCACAACGCAUCACUGGGGGCAAACUACCUGCCCUCCAGGACACCUACACUAUCCGAUGUCACAGGAAGGACAAAAAGAUCAUCAAGGACAAUAACCAUCCGAGCAACUGCCUGUUCACCCCACUAUUAUCCAGAAGACGAGGUCAGUACACGUGCAAAGCUGGGACCGAGAGACUGAAAAACAGCUUCUAUCUCAAGGCCAUCAGACUGUUAAACAGCCAUCACUAACAUAGAGUGGCUGCUGCCACCAUACAGACUCAAAUCUCUUGCCACUUUUCUACAUUUAAUAAGAGGAUUUAAUAAAGGUAUCACUAGUCACUUUAAAUAACGACACUUUUAAUCAUGUUUACAUAUCUGAUAUUACUCAUCUCAUAUGUAUAUACUGUACUCUAUACCAUCUACUGCAUCUUGCCUACGCCGUUUGGCCAUCGCUCAUCCAUAUAUUUACAUGUACAUAUUCUUAUUCAUCCCUUUACAUUUGUGUGUAUAAGGUAGUCGCUGUGAAUUUGUUAGAUUGCUUGUUAGAUAUUACUGCAUGGUCGGAACUAGAAGCACAAGCAUUUCACUACACUAACAUUAACAUCUGCUAACCAUGUGUAUGUGACCAAUACAAUUGGAUUUGAUUUGAUUUGAAACACAAUGGAGUGGUGUUUGAGGGUAUAGUGUAAAAUGAUGGUAGAUAGCUAUUAGCUACAGUAGCAGGUCUAACUAUCCGUAAUACUGCAUAAAAUACACUAAUAUUUUGCAAAGGUACAAUACAAUAAAGUACACACUCCCUUUAGUACAGUUUAUUUGACACUUUUACAUCUGAAUGCACAAAAUGUCCAACCAAACAUUCACAUGGCUCAGGAUGAAUGUGCAAUGAAAUGUAAUUCUGUAGUUUUUCUCCAUUUCAGCAUUAUUCGAGUCCAAACAAUGUAUAAACUUUGGCUUGGGAAGAGAUAACACUCCCUAGGCAGUGCUUGAUAACUACGUGAUGCUUUUCACACAGUGUUGAUAAAUGUGUCCUUUUAUUGUUGUGGCCAGUAAAAUGGAGACUAAUUGCAGUUCCGGGUGUGUGUUCAGUGUUAGCGGCUAAUGUGUUAUAAUUUACACUGGUCCAGGCUGCAACACUUAAUGGGGCUGUUUUUUUUUGACCUUCAAAAAAAAAAGUUUACUUUUUUUAAACUAGGCAAGUCAGUUAUUAAGAACAAUUUAUUGUGGUGUGGAAGAGAGCAGCAGUAAUAAUGAAACUAAUUUCCUCCCUCACAUCAGCUGGCUCCCAUAAUCCUCCAACCACUGUCUUCAGGUCAACAAAAGAGGCCAAAACAAUGGCAACCCGGAUGUUAGCCACGUUGGUGUCAUUAUCGUAUGCAAUUUGUAUGUCUGACAAUCAAUGGGUUACAGAAACAGAGGAAUCAUCAUCAGCAUCAUCAUCAAAUUAUGUAUUGUCACCAUCUUUAUCUUGGUUAGCAGACAUUAUCAUGAUCCUAGAAUAUUCUAGAAUGAUCUUCUAGUAUAUAUGGCAUAAAGAGGUCAAUGCAGACGGUGGGGGAUAGAAAGAACAAGGGUGCAGGGUUGGCGCACAUUCAACAAAUCUCAUCUAACAAAGUGGAUAUUUGUCAAAUCUGUCAUGAUUUAUGUUUUGUUACAGGCCCUCAACGUGGUUACUAAAGUCUGAUUUGGAUAUAUUUGUCUGUUUUCACUGCACAACAUUUAGAAGUUGUCCUUUUUGAGGUUUAGAAGUGACUGCCUGGCACA
ensembl:lncRNA